rnacentral:tRNA from 1 species
GCCCGGGUGGUGGAACGGUAGACACGCAGCACUCAAAAUGCUGUGAGCUUCGGCUCAUGCGAGUUCGAUUCUCGCCUCGGGCA